rnacentral:misc_RNA from 1 species
GAUGAAGAACGCAGCGAAAUGCGAUACGUAAUGUGAAUUGCAGAUCUCUCAGUGAACCAUCGAAUCUUUGAACGCACAUUGCGCCCGGCAGUAAUCUGCCGGGCAUGCCUGUCCGAGCGUCAUUUCUACCCUCGAGCGAGUCCAGCAUCUAGGUGCUGGGCCUCGCCCGGCGUUGGAGCACUACGGGAAGCCCUGUGCUGUCCCCCGUAGGCCCCGAAAUGAAGUGGCGGUCCUGCCGCGGCGCCCCCUGCGUAGUAUAACAGCUCGCUUCGGGACCCGGUGGAGGCCUGCCGUCAAACCUAUACUCUCUAAGUUUGACCUCGGAUCAGGUAGGGUUACCCGCUGAACUUAAGCAUAUCAAUAAGCGGAGGA